ACUUGCACCCCAAGACAGCCCACACUUGCUGAGCUGGCUCCAGAGGCCAUGAGGCUGUCACCACUACAGCUACUGCUGCUGCUGGGGGCCUGGGUCAUCCCAGGGGGUCUUGGGGGCAGAUCUCCACUCACGGCUACUGCCCCACAGCUGGACGAUGAGGAGAGGUACUCAACUCAUAUGCCUACACACCUGCGCUGUGACGCCUGCAGGGCUGUGGCCUACCAGAUGUGGCAACAUCUGUCAGAGGCCGAGGCCAAGCUUCAUACCCCAGAGUCUGGGAGGCGACGAGAACUGAGCGAGUCAGGGUAUACAGAUGUCCUGGACCGAAGCUGCUCCCAGAGCUGGCAGGGCUACGGGGUCCGAGAAGUGAACCAGGUGAAACACCUUACAGGCCCAGGGCUCAGCAAGGGACCAGAGCCAAGCAUCAGUGUGAUGGUCACAGGGGGCCCCUGGCCCAUCAGGCUCUCCAUGACAUGUCUGCGCUACCUGGGGGAGUUUGGAGAAGACCAGAUCUAUGAAGCCCACCAACAAGGCCGAGGGGCUCUGGAAGCAUUACUAUGAUCUGCCUGAGGCUCCUUCUUCCCUGGCUCUCACCCCAGAGAGAACCCCUAGGCACCAGGAGGAGAAACAGGGCCAAGGAACCGGAUGAGCAGUUAACGUAUGGGGUGUGGAGCUGGGCACCUAUGACGUGGACCUGUGUGACCUUGUGUUUGUAUAGAUUGAUUCAGAGACACUCUUUACAACAGAGUCUGGGUGCUCUGGGUCCAUUUGUGCAUCUGUGUACUUGGGACCAUGUGCAACUUCCCCUCCUGUCUCCAUGUGCUGUUGUGUGAUUUUAGUUGAAUUGUGCGUCCAUGGGGCUAUGUGUAUAAAGGGUUGGGCUCAGUCUCCACAGCUCCCUGGGGGGCAUUGAGAGGAGAGGGUGGGGAGAAAAGUGCUGAGGAGCGCCUCCAAGCUCCAAACUGGUCAGACGACUUUGGGAGCCUGACAGCAGAAGCCAAGAAGGGAGAGAAGAGGACAGACCGACCAACAGACAAAAGGGCUGGAGGCCAGACAGCACACGGACUCAGGGCUGUGUCAUGAAGCUGCUACCUAGCUGGAGAUCAAUGCUGCCCACAGGCCCUCGGAGCAGGGCCUGGCCGUGGGCACAGCGACUGAGAAGAACUGCUCACUGCUGCACCCGAAAGAUGAGUGCCC